AUGUUUUGUAGACAAGAAAAAGUCAUUCUUCCUCUGAACAGAGAGAGUAGUGGCUAUUCAAACAUUCAACUUUAAAUUGUUAACAUGACUUGUUAGAUUGUGAUGGAGCAAGCCUCAUACCUUCUAAGUUUCAUGAUUUUUCUCCAGAAUACUGAGAUGGAUGACCUUAAAGUCCAGUUUCCUCAUAAAUGUCUUUAUUCAGUGAUAAAAUUAAAUUCCCUAUAAAAUAAUUCCCAUAGGGCUGGCUCCGUGGCUUAGUGGUUAAGUGUUCUGCUACUGGUGGCCCGGGUUCAGAUCCGGCAUGCACUAACACGUCGCUUCUCCGGCCAUGCUGAAGCCACAUCCCACAUACAGCAACUAGAAGGAUGUGCAUCUAUGACGUACAACUAUUUACUGGGGCUUUGGGGGAAAAAAAGGAGAAGGAUUGGCAACAGAUGUUAACUCAGAGCCAGUCUUUCUCAGCAAAAAGAGGAGGAUUGGCAUGGAUGUUACCUCAGGGCUGAUCUUCCUCACACACAAAAAAUAAUAAUAAUAAUAACAAUAAUAAUUCCCAUAAAAUUGUUAAAAAUAUAUCAUAGUCUCUGACCAAGAGGAAACAAGGAAAAUUGAGCAGUUGAAUAGCAGUGUAAUAAACUCCAUGCAAGGAUCUUACUGUAGCAUUAUGUAUAAUAGUGAAACUGGACAUAAUCCCAUCUCUAUCAAAGAAGAGAUAAACAGAUCAUGGUAUUCCUGUUCUUUGGAGUACCUCUAAAACUUCUAAAAAACUAAGUUAGAGUGGCGAGCACUGAUAAGGAGAGACAUCUAUGAUAUAUGGUUUGGGAAACAACAAAUUGCAAAAUGAUGUAGUUAUGUCAUUUAUGUUAAAAAAACUUUAUGUGUAUUUAUAAAUUCAUAGGAAAUGCCCAGAAGAAUAAGCUGCAAACUCUUAACAAUAGUUCCUUCUGAGUAGGGGAGUGAGUUUGCAGGGAAAGGGAUGGAUGGGGGAGGUUUCACUUUGCUCUACACAGAUCUGGGUAAUUUCACUUUUUUUACAGUAUGUAACUCUUUCAUAAUUAGAAAAAUGAGUAAUGUGACCGUUUGGUGCAGGGCAACAACAUUAUGUUCCCCAGUCUCUGUACUGUAUGUUACUGCACAGCACGGACUGUAAGAGAAAGCCCAGAGAAGCAAUGAAGACAAAGAAGACAUGACACCUGCAAAAAGUCAGUGGAGUAUUUCUACAUAACAAACCUUCCAGGGAGACUGAGAUCUCAAAAUUAUCAAGAAGCUGAAGCUCCCCAACUCCCGCUUCCUGGCGCCGAAUCCACCAUUCAUCACAGGGACAGACAAACAGAGGACACCUGCAGCUCCCCUAACUCAGCUAAACGCAGGCUGAUGGGAGGACGCCGAACUGCAAAGCCGCAGCUCCCCUCCCCCACCUAAAACCUUGUAAACUGUAAUCGUUAAUUGGCAGCAGUUGCCGUCCACACCCCAAGGCCAAAUUUCUGGUGAUGAGAGAAGAUUGGUUGAUGGAGCCCUAGAUCUCCCGCUGUAGAUAGAAAUGACAGCCGGCUUGGCGCCAGAAGACUGGGAUCCCUCCUCCAACAAAUAAUCAGUCACCAAGGAUAUAUUAUUUCCCACAGACUUUCCUUUAAAAGCCUCAACUCCUAAUGCCUCAGGAGGACUGUGGAUUUUGGGGCAUGUGCCCACUACAGCCUCAUUUUGCUGGCAAAAUUAAACCACUUUUCUUUUCCUCGG